GUGGAUAUUCCCAAUCUCUCUCUCUCUCUCUCUCUCUCUCUCUCUCUCUCUCUCUCUCUCUCUCUGUGUGUGUGUGUGUGUGUGUGUGUAGAGAGAGAGAAAGAGAGAGAGAGAGAAAGGGAGAAGAGAUGCUAAUGGGG
rnacentral:miRNA from 1 species